rnacentral:rRNA from 1 species
UACGUAGGGUGCGAGCGUUAAUCGGAAUUACUGGGCGUAAAGCGUGCGCAGGCGGUUCGUUGUGUCGGUGGUGAAAGCCCCGGGCUUAACCUGGGAAUGGCCAUGGAAACUGGCGAACUGGAGUGUGGCAGAGGGGGGUGGAAUUCCGCGUGUAGCAGUGAAAUGCGUAGAUAUCGGGAGGAAUACCGAUGGCGAAGGCAGGUCUCUGGGCUGACACUGACGCUCAUGCACGAAAGCGUGGGGAGCAAACAGG